rnacentral:rRNA from 1 species
GUAGGGAAUAUUGCGCAAUGGACGAAAGUCUGACGCAGCGACGCCGCGUGAGUGAUGAAGGCCUUAGGGUCGUAAAGCUCUGUUGAAUGGGAAGAAAAAAAUGACGGUACCAUUCGAGGAAGGACCGGCUAACUUCGUGCCAGCAGCCGCGGUAAUACGAGGGGUCCUAGCGUUGUUCGGAAUCAUUGGGCGUAAAGGGUGUGUAGGUGGCCAUGUAAGUCAGGUGUGAAAGCCCCGGGCUCAACCCGGGAAGUGCACUUGAUACUGCGUGGCUUGAGUACCGAAGAGGGUAGUGGAAUUCCAGGUGUAGUGGUGAAAUACGUAGAUAUCUGGAGGAACACCGGUGGCGAAGGCGGCUACCUGGUCGAGUACUGACACUGAGACACGAAAGCAUGGGGAUCAAACAGGAUUAGAUACCCCGGUAGUCC